UGAGACUGACCAGCGGCUGGCUAGAGUAGAGAAAUUCGUGUGUGAUAUAGGCAAGGAACAAUCGAAGGUUAGGCAGGGAUUUGAGUACUUUGUUGUGGUCAUGAUUGUCGUCACAGUUUUAAUAGACCUUCUGUUUAUGGUUAAGUAAAUGAAGAUGGUGUUGUGUUAUGUGUAUCGGAAUGAUUUCCUGUAAUCGACAUUAUGUAAUGUUUGAAUGUUGGCUCGUAACCAUGUUUGACAAUAUGUUUAUCUAUUUUUUUUGUUAUGUUUGAAUGUUUGACAUUAUCACAUUAUGUAUAUUUAUAAAGUUAUAAUCUAAAUCUAAAACAUAUAGAAGACAGAAUAAAUGAU
rnacentral:lncRNA from 1 species